AUGUCGCUGCAGUGUCCACUGCUCACACGAAACAAUUAUGCUUCGUGGGCAUUGAGGAUGCGGGUGAUCCUGCAAGCACACAGUGUGUGGGACGCUGUCAUCAAGGACGACAUAGACGAGCACAUGGAUAGACAAGCCAUCGCGGUCAUCUAUCAGGGAAUCCUGGAGGAUGUACUUCUAAUGUUGGCUGAGAAUGACUCGGCCAAGAAGACAUGGGAGGCGCUCAAGGUGAUACAUAUGGGUGCGGAGAGGCGAAACUUCAGACCUUGA
rnacentral:rRNA from 1 species